rnacentral:rRNA from 1 species
UAUCUGGUUGAUCCUGCCAGUAGUCAUAUGCUUGUCUCAAAGACUAAGCCAUGCAUGUCUAAGUAUAAGUAUUAUACAGCGAAACUGCGAAUGGCUCAUUAAAACAGUUAUAGUUUAUUUGACAAUCACUUUUACAUGGAUAACCGUGGUAAUUCUAGAGCUAAUACAUGCUGUAACGCCCAACUUCUCGGAAGGGCUGUAUUUAUUAGAUAACAAGCCAACGGAGCUCGCUCCCUGUGGUGAAUCAUAAUAACUGAUCGAAUCGCGAGGCAUCAUGCAGCGAUAAGUCAUUCAAGUUUCUGCCCCAUCAGCUUGAUGGUAGUGUAUUGGACUACCAUGGCGUUUACGGGUAACGGAGGAUUAAGGGUCGAUUCCCGAAAAGGAACCUGAAAAACCGCUUACCCUUCUAAGGAAGGAACAGGCCGUAAAUUACCCAAUCUGAUUCAGGGAGGUAGUGACAAGAAAUAACCGGACUGGGGCCCUAAGGCUUCAAGAAUGCAAUGGGCCCGAAUUUACACCCCUCGCGAGGAUCGAUUGGAGGGCAAGUCUGGUGCCAGCAGCCCGCGGUAAUUCCAGCUUCAAUAGCGUAUAUUAAAAGUUGUGCAGUUAAAAAGCUCGUAGUUGGACUUCUUGGGAAGCUUCGUGAGGCGGCCUGCAGGGCCUGCCAACGGACCUCUCAUCCUGCAGUUAACGGUCGUUGCUUGCAAGCGCGGUCCGGCUCACUACUUUACUUGAGAAAUUAAAGGGUU